rnacentral:rRNA from 1 species
UACGAAGGGGGCUAGCGUUGCUCGGAAUUACUGGGCGUAAAGCGCACGUAGGCGGCUUCUUAAGUCGGUGGUGAAAUCCUGGAGCUCAACUCCAGAACUGCCUUCGAUACUGGGAAGCUCGAGUCCGGGAGAGGUGAGUGGAACUGCGAGUGUAGUGGUGAAAUUCGUAGAUAUUCGCAAGAACACCAGUGGCGAAGGCGGCUCACUGGCCCGGUACUGACGCUGAGGUGCGAAAGCGUGGGGAGCAAACAGG